GUCGUGUGCUGUGAGCGUGUCGGCAGUGUGCGUGUACUUCCGGGAAGAUACCGCAUUUUUAAUUUUGCAAAAUGUCUUUUACUGAAGUGUUAACGGAAAUAAUUGAUACGAUCACGCGAUUUGCUACUUCACCGAGUGCCGAGUGCAGCUGCCAAAGACAUCUAACGGAGCGCAGCGACAACGACAACACGCCGACGACACACCUUGACUAGAUUUUUCGAGCUAGGCGACAACUUCCCUGAUCUGGAUCCGCGUCCCGCCAAAAGAAAAACAAAAAUAAUCAAAAGGAAACGAAAAUAAAUAAAAAGAUCGCAGC